rnacentral:rRNA from 1 species
UAUAGCAGAGCAGGUAUCAGGCUCAACAACGUUAGCCCAUCACACCUUGCCAAGCCACAUCCCCACGGAUAAUCAGCAGUGACUAACAUUAGGCAAUAAGCGCACCAAGCUUGACCUAGCUAAUACUUUUUCCCAUGGCCGGCAAAUCUCGUGCCAGCAGCCGCGGUUACACGGGAGGCCAAAGAUAAUACCUAACGGCGUAAAGAGUGACUUCAGAUCUCCCCCACUACAGGACCCAAAAAUUCUACCUCAGAGAUGGAAUCCCAAGGUAACCAGAACUUCCAGUCAUCCUUCAGCAGGCCAUCCAACUCACGAAAACCGGGGCACAAACUAGGAUU